rnacentral:tRNA from 1 species
UUUGUUUUAGUAUAGUGUUAUUAUAUUAACUUUUCGUGUUAAAGACAGUUAAUUUAACUAAACGAAU